rnacentral:rRNA from 1 species
AGAGUUUGAUCCUGGCUCAGGAUGAACGCUAGCUCCAGGGUUAACACCAUGCAAGUCGAGGGGCAGCAUGGCCUAUCUUUCGGGAUGGGCCGAUGGCGUACUCGGCGCACGGGUGAGUAACGCGUAUCCAACCUUCCCUUUACUGGGGUCCAGACCCGUCGAAAGGCGGAUUAAUCCCCCAUGUUCUCCGUCCCGGACAUCUGUGUCGGAGCAAAGAUUUAUCGGUAAAGGAUGGGGAUGCGUCCGAUUAGCUUGUUGGCGGGGUAACGGCCCACCAAGGCAUCGAUCGGUAGGGGUUCUGAGAGGAAGGUCCCCCACACUGGAACUGAGACACGGUCCAGACUCCUACGGGAGGCAGCAGUGAGGAAUAUUGGUCAAUGGCCGUAAGGCUGAACCAAGCCAAGUAGCGUGAGGGAAGACUGCCCUAUGGGUUGUAAACCUCUUUUAUGCGGGGAUAAAGGUGUCCACGUGUGGAUGUUUGCAGGUACCGCAUGAAUAAGGACCGGCUAAUUCCGUGCCAGCAGCCGCGGU